rnacentral:rRNA from 1 species
UACGAAGGUCCCAAGCGUUAUCCGGAUUUAUUGGGUUUAAAGGGUGCGUAGGCGGCUUAUUAAGUCAGUGGUGAAAGCCCCAAGCUUAACUUGGGAAUUGCCAUUGAUACUGAUGAGCUUGAGUAGAUUUGAGGCGGGCGGAAUGUGUCGUGUAGCGGUGAAAUGCUUAGAUAUGACACAGAACACCGAUUGCGUAGGCAGCUCGCUAAACUCUUACUGACGCUGAGCACGAAAGCAUGGGGGAUCAAACAGG